CCGUUUGUCUUUCUGCCGGCCUCUGCGAUUCCUCAGCGGCAGAAGCACCUGCACCAAGGCAGCCGCAAGAUGUGCAACUUCUGCCCAUCUGCCACUGAAGCACACAGCAAAACAGUAUGAACGUAUGACAUAGAUAAAAUUCAGCUUUCGCUUUCAGUCAACUCAGCACAAACAGAGAUGGAGAAUUGCAAACAUAAAGUAAAGGUUAUAAGCAACUUCAGAGCUAUUAAACAUUUUUCAAGGUUUCCAUGGCUUCCUAGGGCAGUUAACGUGACUAUUCAAAUAAGAGAAGAUUCUCAAAUGAUGCAAGAAAUCAACCACAAGGACUUUCAGUGGCAGCUGGUAAAAACUGAAAUGUAAGGUCUCCACCAGGAUUUACUUUGCUAUAGAGUUGUACCUUCGUUUUCGAACGCCUUGGAACUCGUACGUUUUGGCUCCCAAAUGCCACAAACCUGCAGCCAAUCGGAAGCCAUGCCUUGGUUUUCGAACAGUUUCGGGAGUCAAACAAUCUCCCGGAACAGAUUAAAUUUGAGAACCAAGGUACCACUGUAUAUAAUGGCCAUAUUUCUAUAACCCUAUUGAAUAUAAAAAAAUAGAUGGAAAAUAACUUCAUGCUUUUAGACCCUAAUCUAACAAGCAAGGGUUCCAAUUUCAAAGUCUGUUUUACACCUCAGCUUACCUAAGUUGUGUGUGCAGCACUUACACUUACGUUUUAGGAUGUCUGCAGAACUUGCUGACAGCUACCAUGUCUGAGAGCUCAGGCAGAGCGUCCAUCAGAGGAUGCAGAUCUCCAACUACUGGGGUAGCUUUUCGCUUUGCUUCUGCUUUUUGUUGUUGUUUUGCUAGCUUGAUAUUUUCUAUUUCUGAAAAACAGGGGCAGGAGGGAGAAACAAUUGUUAAGCGAGUAUCCAGGGGUCAGCAAACCUUUUCAGCAGGGGGCCGGGUCCACUGUCCCUCAGACCUUGUGGGGGGCCGGACUAUAUUUUUUUUGGGGGGGGGGAAUUGAACGAAUUCCUAUGCCCCACAAAUAACCCAGAGAUGCAUUUUAAAUAAAAGGACACAUUCUACUCAGUGGCGUAGCGUGGGUUGUCAGCACCCGGGGCAAGGCAAGUAAUUUGCGCCCCCUAACCCGUGGAUUUGCGCCCCCUAACCCGUGGAUUUGCGCCCCCUAACCCUAACCCCCAGAUGUUGCGCCCGGUGCGGCCGGCCCCCCCUGCACCCCCCACGCUACGCCACUG